UACGUAGGGUGCAAGCGUUGUCCGGAAUUAUUGGGCGUAAAGAGCUCGUAGGCGGUUUUGUUGCGUCGGCUGUGAAAAUCCCGAGGCUCAACCUCGGGUCUGCAGUCGAUACGAGCAAACUAGAGUGUUGCAGGGGAGACUGGAAUUCCUGGUGUAGCGGUGAAAUGCGCAGAUAUCAGGAGGAACACCGGUGGCGAAGGCGGGUCUCUGGGCCGAUACUGACGCUGAGGAGCGAAAGCGUGGGGAGCGAACAGG
rnacentral:rRNA from 1 species